AUGGCAGCAGAAUUGCUUCACAUGUUAUCCCACAAUGACUGUAACAUAUCGAUACUUCAAUACUUGCACAUGGCAGCAGAAUUGCUUCAAAGAUUACCCCAUCAUAAUUUUUAUUUUAAAAACCAGGCUAGAAUCUACCAGAUUAUACAGCCAUGGCUGAAAUAUGAAAUUAUGACAGCGAAAGUGGUUCAACAAAAUAAGAAUUUGUAA